GUUCACUUACCACCACAGCCCUGAAGGCAUCUGCCCCUCCACUGUGGACACCUCUGUGCCAUAAUAGGUCCCAGCAGCCCGUCAUGUCUGUGGGUAGCGAAACAACUCCAGCACACCCGUCCCUUUCCGUGGCCCCCGGCGCGGCAGCGUAGUGUGGGGGCAGAUGGAUGGGCUGUGGUAGGAUGAGCCCUGCCCUGCACCUGCUGCUGUUCCUGGCCAGCUGCUCCCUGCUCCAGGGGAUGCUACUGCGUCCACGGGAUGUGAAGCUGGAGGCACGGAACUUCCACGUCUGGCUGCACUGGAAGCCAGACCCCAGCUCACCCAGCUAUGCCACUUACGAGGUGGAGUGGAGGAACAGAACCUCGAACUGGACAAAGGCAGAUGCCUGCGGGGGGAACAGCAGAAGCUCCUGGGUGUGUGAGCUGUAUUUUGACAGGAUUCACGAUAUCUACUGGGCACGGGUGAGAGCGGUGGCCAGAGCAAUUGUUGGCCCCCCCAAGUUGUCCUGGCUGCUACAGGAUCAAAUCCUCAGCGUAAACAUCACCACACCACUCACUCCCUACCGGAGAAGAGCUGGUUCCUACAAGCCAGUCGACCGAGUGCUGCUGAAGCUGUGGUACUGGCUACACCUGUACGAGGGGAACCUGCUUGUCCAGCAGGUACCCUGCAAACGGAGCAGUGAGGAAGUGCCUUGCACCUUUGGGCAUCUGAAGCCCAGCACACAGUACUGUGUCCGGACGGUGGCUGCAGACAUGGCAAGGGAGCGGAGCCAGGAGGCUGAGCAGUGCCUGAUGACUCCAGCAGGCCCUGCAGGCUUUCCCUGGGUCCUUGCCAUGCCGAGUGCCUUCUUCCUGCUGCUGCUACUGAGUGUGGCUGGGCUCUACUUCAUCCAGCUGCAUGUCUUGCCCAGCCCUCCGGAGACGCGCCUCCCAAAAGCACUGGCUCUCCAGAACAGCGAGCUGAGUGUGGCCAUACAGGUGCCUCCCCUCGAGCUUGAGGAGAACCCACUGGCCCUGUUCCUGCAGACUGAGCUCCCCUCCCACAGGCCAUCCACAGCUGGGCAGGCAUCAACCACAGUCCCACAGCUCCUCUGCGGCCUUGCCCAGGAUGUGAGUGGCUACUGUGGCAAUGGGUUUGGCCCAGACUGCCCUGAGGGAAGGGACCCAUCCUGCACCCACAGCCAGCUGGGGCACGCCUGGGAUUCCCAGGUCCCAUCACGGCUGGAGAAGGAUGGGGAGACAGGUGAUAGGGAUCAUGUGCCAGAACAGCUGGUGCCAGUGGGACUGACUGGAAACAGCUACAUAGGUGACAGGGACAGCCAGACACCUCAGAUAUGGCUCCCCCUGCACCUCCAGCUUUACUUUAAAGGCCAGUGCCCAGCCCUGGGCGCAGGCAGCCACCUUCCUCUGCCCGUGCCGAGCAGGAGCUGCAGCCAGGAGUACCUGCAGGAGAGUCUCGGCACGGCUGGACACUGGGUCCGGCUCAGCUCCGUGAAGAUCCCGGCCAGUGCGGAGGAGGAGGGAGGGCAGCUCCUCUCUGCUCCCCAGCCCCUGCUGGGCGGCGAGACUGAGCCGGAGCCAGGUGACAGCGCCGUGCAGCGAGGCUACUCGGAGCAGGCAGAACUGGGUGUCUCCAGCCCCUGCCAGCUGCUCCCCUCGCCCCUCAGCGUCCUGCGGGCGCCUGCCUUCUCUGGCUACGAGCCACGUGCCCCAUCUGGCAGUGAGAAGUGGGGGCACCCUGGAGCUCCCGGGCUAUGA
ensembl:lncRNA